rnacentral:rRNA from 1 species
CGGCGGACGGGUGAGUAACACGUGGGUAACCUGCCCCAUGCUCCAGAAUAGCUCUUGUAAACGGGUGGUAAUGCUGGAUGCUCCAACUUGACGCAUGUCUUGUUGGGAAAGUGUUUAGUGGCAUGGGAUGGGGUCGCGUCCUAUCAGCUUGUAGGCGGGGUAGUGGCCCACCUAGGCUUCGACGGGUAGCCGGCCUGAGAGGGCGGACGGCCACAUUGGGACUGAGAUACGGCCCAGACUCCUACGGGAGGCAGCAGCC